CGUACGGCAGCGCUGUCCCCGCGGGAGCGGAGCCUGCUCCGCCCGCGUCCUGCGCCGGACCGGGCGCGGACAGCUCUGCCGGCACUGCCAACGCCUCCCGGCGUUUCCGCACGGCUGGCGGCGAAUCCGCCGGGAACUUGGUGCCCUGGCGAUGCCCGCCCGGCGCCGCAGGCCGGGCCUGGGCACGGCGCCCCUCAUGUUCGCGGGGACCCUCCGCCGCGGCUCCCGCCCGUCCCACCGCGGCCCGCGUUCGGCCCGGCCCGGCCCGCAGCGCCCGUGGCCCCGUUUGUGCCUACUCACCACAGCUUCCUCUUUAAGGGCAUCAGACUGCCCCUGUUGGAGGCGGUCACCCCUAUGGCCAUCUGCAAGACAGUCAGAUGAACAUCCUAUUUUUAACAGGAGUCAAUCAGCAACUUCCAGAUUAGGGAAAGCAUCCAGACAUCCCUCUGUUAGUUCUAAGGCCUGUGUGGACCCAUUUGCCAAGAAAGAAAAAGAAAAAGGUAUCAUAUUUGUCAAAGGCAAAAGAAUUCCUUAGAAUCCACAAGUUUUUCAGAUGCAAUGACUCUGGGGCUAUUUUCUCUCUCCUCAAAAAUGACUAUUCCCUUCUUGCUGCGUGAGUUCUGGGGCUGCAUCAACUUCCACACCUCACACUGAUACAGCACAGACAGAGUUCAUAGAGCUUCAGCAUCUUUUUUUUUCUUCUUCCAGGGUGUAUGCAGAACUGAUGUUCCACAUGCUUUUUAUCAGCUGGAAUGUAUAUAACCAUCUUAUAGUGAGACCACUUGGCCCUGCAAAUGCUGAUAGUGACAUCUUUUAUAUCUGGUUGAGGUUUCUUGAACUAUCAAGUAUUUCCAGCAUAGGUUGAGUUCAGGAAAGCUUUCCUGCCUGGCUAUUACUUCCCUAACGCUAUUCUUCAGCUGCAGGCACUUCUUAAGUGGUUUGGUUUUGUAAGUGAAUUGCCUUGCAAAGUUAGAGGGCCAGUGCUACAAAAUAAAUCUUCUUAAAUUCAAACAGCACAUAUUCAGAUUAUGAAUGACUACAAGUCUCCUGGAAGUCCUGUGAAUAUCUCUGCAGAAAGGAGUUCUGACUGGGAUUUCAUUAGUUGUGGGCAUAUCAGCCCAUACUAUAUUGUAGUGUCUUCAUUGUCUAUUACCAUUUCACGUUUCACAGCUUCUCAACGUGAACCACACCUCUUACAACCACAAUUUUUUCAAAAACUUCACAGUCAUUAAUUUUUACUACAUUUCUAAAAACCAGAGUAAUCCAGACUGUAGCUGAAACGUAACAAAACUAACCUAGACAUGCAAAGGAAUUAAAGCCUCCAGAAUUUACUGUUUAUAUGCUACUGAUACACCAAAACAACAGGAGAGCUUUUAACUACUUUUCAAGCAUUUUUCUCAGAAUGUCUUAGUUGAACAUGUGUAAAUUACCUACAGUAUUUCUAAUAGCUAAUGAGCUAUUGAGAACAGUAGUCCAUUCUCAGCUAGAUUCCUUAUUGAACUUGGUAAAGAAUGACUCCAAACACACAGCUGCAAAUGCCUGAAUUGAAUCAUGGCUAGGCUUCGCUAACAAAGACUAUCUACAUAAAAUGUAGCAUUUUAGAACUUUCCAAGGUUGUAUUUGUCCUUUCUUUAGGUUCAAAUCUUUGAAGCAGGGACUUAAAUCCCAGUAUCCCAGCAUGUAUCAGGUUACAUGCUGUUCUUACAUAGGUCUUCCUCUGUUUCUAUUCCUCUUAAAAUAAAUGAAAAUAACAGUAACUGUGAUAUUAACUUAGGUUGUGUCUCACACUCCUAGAAAAUUUAGGAGUAAAAUGUACUUCUCUUAUGUACCUAGUCCUUUAACACUGAAAACUAGCAAAUGCAUCAAUGCGUUACAUCACUAGUGAAGAUAUGUAGUAAAGACCAGAGGUGAUCCCCAGCAUAAAUCAGCAUCCAAAAAUCAACAUCAAAAGAUGUUUGUUAUAAAAGUAGAAUUGUAAUUUACAAAUGCCAACUCAAAUCAGAUGCAAAUGAAACACUUCUUGAAAGCAUUAGUUGUGUACUUCACUUACAUAGAAACUAAAUCACGAGAUAUAUUGUGAUCAUAAAAGACAUCAUGACAGUUUGAUAAUUUUAACCUGUAUUUGUUGAACGAUUGAUUCAGUUGUUCCUCAGCAGA